CAAGCAACCUGCACAUCACCAGGGCAGUUCUUCCUUUAGGUUCUGCUAUUUCAAUUACCUUAAUAAAUAUAGAUCACAUAAUUAACAUAACACCUUUCUGUACCAAAGAUUUUGAGAUGUAUGCAGCAGAUUACUGUGGAGUUUUUGUCAUCUUUCCCCCAGUGGCAAGUCAAUAUCAUCCCCAAUAAACUAAAGGAGUUCAAGUGAUCUUGUAGAGAGGAUAAUCAUCUUUGAGUGGAAUUCAGGAAGCCUACAUGUAGUCCUGCUACGUCUCCCCGCCCAGACAAUAAUUGU